rnacentral:lncRNA from 12 species
AUUCUGUCAUACUGUAAAUUUUUUUAGUUAGGAAGGUGGCAUAUCAGAUGUUGAAGAAUUGGUCUGGUCUGCAUGUGAAGACUUGGAUAGAUGCAAGUUCUUCUGGACUCUGUCUGGAGUCAUUGAUAGUGCUUCAGCAGAGGAAAUCAAAGCUCUGUUUUGAAACCGUUUCAGGGUGGGGGCAGAGCACUGAAGCUGGGAACUGGAGACUGAACAUCCAGCACAUAAUCCAUGUUACCCAUCAAAAAAGCACUUGAAGAUCCCAGGCUAGAAAUGAUGAUAGCUAUUUCUUCUGUGAGGAAGGUAAGGGUUGUAAUGCAUUAGAUGUCUGAAAAUUAAUACAGCAGCUGAAUUGUAUCCACAAACAUUCAAAAUAAGUAAGGAAAAGGUCUUAAUUGCAAGAUGUAAAGUAAAGUAGAUAAAUUAAUAGUGUUUCCUGCAGCUUGCUUUGCUGGAGCUGUGGUGUGAUAGUUGCACGUUGUCAUAGCAAUGCCUUAUUUUAAGAAAAUGGGAAUUAAGUUUGCAAACACUUCAUCAGUUGUUGGAUAAUGCAGCCUGUGUAUGUAUGUUGUCUGGUAAAAGAAUAUACCACCAUAGUAAUUCAACAGAAUUUGAAAAUGGGCCUAAGGGAUUUGGAAGCAGAAAUUGCAGUGAAAAAUUACAAUGGAAUAGUUGAUACUCUCGUAUCAGCUGAAAUCCAUGAAAAUCAACCCUAAAGUAUUGACAGCUUUUGUUGGGGUUUUUUUGCUUGUUUGUUUGUUUUCCUAGUAAACACGCCUGCAUAGGAAUUGGGAGAAGUUUUGCAAUUUAAACAUGUGGCAUCCUUGUGCACAGGUUUUUCUGGGGUCGGUGGGUUUCAGUUGUCUCGUUGUCUGCAUUCACAUGUGGCAUCCUUGUGCACAGGUUUCUCUGGGGUUGGUGGGUUUCAGUUGUCUCGUUGUCUGCAUUCUUUUAAUUUUGUCUCCCACCCCUUUACUGUGAAAUAUCUGCCGGGGAGGUGUUGGCGUACAACCCUUUGUUGAAUGGGGAAAUUUUAUCUGGCCAUCUGAAAUAAUUUACAGCAAGGAUGCUGUAAACUGAUGUGACAUCAGGGAAUUAAAUGACUUUGGAAUCCCCUUUGAAAAGAACCAGGACUGUAAGUGCAGAUGUCACUUUAACUAGAUAUUAGAGCCUGAGUCUCAAAGGCUUGUCAUGAGUUGGUCAGCACUUUACCUGAAGUGUACAUUCUAGGUUUGCUUUUUGGUUUGGUUUUUUUUCUUGUUUGUUUGUUGGUUUUUUUUGUUGUUUUUUUUUUUUCUGCUA